rnacentral:rRNA from 1 species
UACGAAGGGGGCUAGCGUUGCUCGGAAUUACUGGGCGUAAAGCGCGUGUAGGCUGACCGGAAAGUCGGGCGUGAAAUCCCUGAGCUCAACUCAGGAACUGCACUCGAAACUCUCGGUCUAGAGUGGUGGAGAGGGAAGUGGAAUUCCUGGUGUAGAGGUGAAAUUCGUAGAUAUCAGGAGGAACACCAGUGGCGAAGGCGGCUUCCUGGACACCAACUGACGCUGAGACGCGAAAGCGUGGGGAGCAAACAGG